rnacentral:rRNA from 1 species
CAGCAGCCGCGGUAAUGCGAAGGGGGCUAGCGUUGUUCGGAUUUACUGGGCGUAAAGCGCACGUAGGCAGGUCCUUAAGUCAGAGGUGAAAUCCCAAGGCUCAACCUUGGAACUGCCUUUGAUACUGGGGAUCUCGAGUUCGGGAGAGGUGAGUGGAACUGCGAGUGUAGAGGUGAAAUUCGUAGAUAUUCGCAAGAACACCAGUGGCGAAGGCGGCUCACUGGCCCGAUACUGACGCUGAGGUGCGAAAGCGUGGGGAGCAAACAGGAUUAGAUACCCCAGUAGUCCCUGUCUCUUAUAC